AUUGAUACUGUAUGCGUGUGUAUUGAUACUGUGUGCGUGUGUAUUGAUACUGUGUGCCUGUGUGUGUGUGUGUAUUGAUACUGUGUGCGUGUGUAUUGAUACUGUGUGCGUGUGUAUUGAUACUGUGUGCGUGUUUAUUGAUACUGUGUGCGCGUGUGUAUUGAUACUGUGUGUGUCAGGAUUUCGGUUAUAUACAGUACAACAAGUGUAGACUUUACAGUGAAGUCUUACUUCCCAACAGUGUAGAGUUAAAAAGUAAGACAGAUAUUUUCUAAAUAAAUAAAGGAAAUAGUAACACAAUAAAAACAAUAGCAAGGCUGUAUACAAGGAGUACCAGUACCAAGUCAAUGUGCAGGGGUACGAGGUAGUUGAGGUAAUAACUAGACUAUAUACAAGGAGUACCAGUACCAAGUCACUGUGCAGGGGUACGAGGUAGUUGAGGUAAUAACUAGACUAUAUACAAGGAGUACCAGUACCAAGUCACUGUGCAGGGGUACGAGGUAGUUGAGGUAAUAACUAGACUAUAUACAAGGAGUACCAGUACCAAGUCACUGUGCAGGGGUACGAGGUAGUUGAGGUAAUAACUAGACUAUAUACAAGGAGUACCAGUACCAAGUCACUGUGCAGGGGUACGAGGUAGUUGAGGUAAUAACUAGACUAUAUACAAGGAGUACCAGUACCAAGUCAAUGUGCAGGGGUACGAGGUAGUUGAGGUAAUAACUAGACUAUAUACAAGGAGUACCAGUACCAAGUCACUGUGCAGGGGUACGAGGUAGUUGAGGUAAUAACUAGACUAUAUACAAGGAGUACCAGUACCAAGUCACUGUGCAGGGGUACGAGGUAGUUGAGGUAAUAACUAGACUAUAUACAAGGAGUACCAGUACCAAGUCACUGUGCAGGGGUACGAGGUAGUUGAGGUAAUAACUAGACUAUAUACAAGGAGUACCAGUACCAAGUCACUGUGCAGGGGUACGAGGUAGUUGAGGUAAUAACUAGACUAUAUACAAGGAGUACCAGUACCAAGUCAAUGUGCAGGGGUACGAGGUAGUUGAGGUAAUAACUAGACUAUAUACAAGGAGUACCAGUACCAAGUCACUGUGCAGGGGUACGAGGUAGUUGAGGUAAUAACUAGACUAUACACAAGGAGUACCAGUACCAAGUCAAUGUGCAGGGGUACGAGGUAGUUGAGGUAAUAACUAGACUAUACACAAGGAGUACCAGUACCAAGUCAAUGUGCAGGGGUACGAGGUAGUUGAGGUAAUAACUAGACUAUACACAAGGAGUACCAGUACCAAGUCAAUGUGCAGGGGUACGAGGUAGUUGAGGUAAUAACUAGACUAUACACAAGGAGUACCAGUACCAAGUCAAUGUGCAGGGGUACGAGGUAGUUGAGGUAAUAACUAGACUAUACACAAGGAGUACCAGUACCAAGUCAAUGUGCAGGGGUACAAGGUAGUUGAGGUAAUAACUAGACUAUAUACAAGGAGUAUCACACUCAUUCUUAUGUGUAAUAAAUAUAUUGUGUAGUGUGUGUGUGUGUGGCAGGCAACAAUGAUGGUGCCUGCCAAUGAUGGUGCUAGAGGGGGUACGCGGCUGGAGGUUGAAUGUUUGAAGGGGUACGGGAAUUACUCUUCACCAUCUGGCAGUCCGAUGGAUGAAUCUGUGUUGGAUGGAUGCCAGGAGAAUGCUAUCUGUCCCAAUGCAUAGUGCCAACUGUAAGGUUUGGUAGAGGUGGAAUAAUGCUUUGGGGCUGUUUUUCAUG